rnacentral:rRNA from 1 species
CCCUUAGAUGGUCUGGGCGGCACGCGCGCUACAAUGAUGCAUUCAAAAAGUCUUCUGACCUUAGAAGGUUGGGUAUUCUCCAAAGUGCAUCGUGAUGGGAAUAGUUUAUUGCAAUUUUUAAUCUUGAACGAGGAAUUCCUAGUAAGUACAGGUCAUCAACUUGUGUUGAUUACGUCCCUGCCCUUUGUACACACCGCCCGUCGCUCCUACUGAUUGAGUGUCUCGGUGAAUUCUUUGAUCUUCUGUCGAUUCAGUUCACUUAUCCGACGGUGGAAAGUUGAAUGAACUUCGUCACUUAGAGGAAGGAGAAGUCGUAACA